AACGCUAGCUACAGGCUUAACACAUGCAAGUCGAGGGGCAGCACAGAGUGGCAACACUUGGGUGGCGACCGGCGCACGGGUGAGUAACACGUAUCCAACCUGUCCCAUACUCGGGGAUAGCCUUUCGAAAGAAAGAUUAAUACCCGAUAGUAUUAUAACGAGGCAUCUCAUUAUAAUUAAAGAGUUUCGGUAUGGGGUGGGCAUGCGUUCCAUUAGGUAGUUGGAGAGGUAACGGCUCACCAAGCCCACGAUGGAUAGGGGAACUGAGAGGUUGGUCCCCCACACUGGUACUGAGACACGGACCAGACUCCUACGGGAGGCAGCAGUGAGGAAUAUUGGUCAAUGGGCGAGAGCCUGAACCAGCCAAGUCGCGCGAAGGAAGAAGGAUCUAUGGUUCGUAAACUUCUUUUGCAGGGGAAUAAAGUGCAGGACGUGUCCUGUUUUGUAUGUACCCUGAGAAUAAGGAUCGGCUAACUCCGUGCCAGCAGCCGCGGUAAUACGGAGGAUCCGAGCGUUAUCCGGAUUUAUUGGGUUUAAAGGGUGCGUAGGUGGUUUAAUAAGUCAGCGGUGAAAGUUUGCAGCUUAACUGUAAAAAUGCCGUUGAAACUGUUAGACUUGAGUGUAAAUGAGGUAGGCGGAAUGCGUGGUGUAGCGGUGAAAUGCUUAGAUAUCACGAAGAACUCCGAUUG
rnacentral:rRNA from 1 species